rnacentral:rRNA from 1 species
GACGUAGGGCGCAAGCGUUGUCCGGAUUUAUUGGGCGUAAAGAGCUCGUAGGCGGCUUGUUGCGUCGUCCGUGAAAACCUGUGGCUCAACUACAGGCUUGCGGUCGAUACGGGCGGGCUGGAGUUCGGUAGGGGAGACUGGAAUUCCUGGUGUAGCGGUGAAAUGCGCAGAUAUACAGGAGGAACACCGGUGGCGAAGGCGGGUCUCUGGGCCGAUACUGACGUGAGGAGCGAAAGCGUGGGGAGCGAACAGG